rnacentral:rRNA from 1 species
GAUGAACGCUAGCGACAGGCUUAACACAUGCAAGUCGAGGGGCAGCGUGCGGAAGUGGCAACACUUCCGUGACGGCGACCGGCGCACUGGUGAGUAACACGUAUGCAACCUGCCCCCGACUGGGGAAUAAUCGCGGGAAACCGCGUCUAAUGCCCCAUAGUUCCCCGGGCCCGCAUGGACCCGGGGGGAAAGGGUUCAUUCCGGUCGGGGAUGGGCAUGCGGCGCAUUAGGUAGUUGGCGGGGCGACGGCCCACCAAGCCGACGAUGCGUAGGGGUUCUGAGAGGAAGGUCCCCCACCAUUGGAACUGAGACACGGUCCAAACUCCUACGGGAGGCAGCAGUGAGGAAUAUUGGUCAAUGGGCGGAGAGCCUGAACCAGCCAAGUAGCGUGCAGGAUGACGGCCCUAUGGGUUGUAAACUGCUUUUAUAAGGGAAUAAAGUAGAGGGACGUGUCCCAUAUUGUAGGUACCGCAUGAAUAAGGACCGGCUAAUUCCGUG